AUUGAACGCUGGCGGCAGGCCUAACACAUGCAAGUCGCACGAGUGGCGGACGGGUGAGUAAUGUCUGGGAAACUGCCUGGUGGAGGGGGAUAACUACUGGAAACGGUAGCUAAUACCGCAUACCAUCAGAUGUGCCCAGAUGGGAUUUGCUAGUAGGUGGGGUAAAGGCUCAACAAGGCGACGAUCCCUAGCUGGUCUGAGAGGAUGACCCGACACACUGGAACUUAGAAACGGGCCCGACUCCUUCGGGAGGCCGGAGUGGGGAAUAUUUUCGAAUGGGCGGAAGCCUUGUGCCGCCCUGCCGCGUUUAUUGAGAAGGGCUUUGGGUUUUAAAGUACCUUCAGCCGGGGGGCGUUACCCGCAGAAGAAGCACCGGCUAACUCCGUGCCAGCAGCCGCGGUAAUUC
rnacentral:rRNA from 1 species